rnacentral:misc_RNA from 1 species
GAUGAAGAACGCAGCGAAAUGCGAUAAGUAAUGUGAAUUGCAGAACUCAGUGAAUCAUCGAAUCUUUGAACGCACAUUGCGCCCUGUGGUAUUCCGCAGGGCAUGCCUGUUCGAGCGUCAUUUCAACCCUCAAGCCCCGCUUGGUGUUGGGCCCCGCCCGCUGUGGCCGGCCCUAAAGACAGUGGCGGCGCCGCCUGGCCCUCAGCGUAGUACAUCUCUCGCUCCAGGGUCCGGUGGCCGCCUGCCAGAACCCCCCAACUCUGUGGUUGACCUCGGAUCAGGUAGGGAUACCCGCUGAACUUAAGCAUAUCAAUAAGCGGAGGA